rnacentral:rRNA from 1 species
AUGGCCACCGAGACGUUGGUCGGCGACGUGGACUUCGAGGGCGACGUCAUGACCACCACCAUCACGUCCUCCGGCGCCGCCGUGGCCGCCUGGCUCCGCAAGAUCCGCUACGUCUACCGCUGGGUCUACCACAAGCUCAUCGUGGGGCUGGACGUGGAGUGGCGCCCCAGCUACAGCCACGCGCAGAACCCCGUCGCGCUCCUGCAGCUCUGCGUCGGCCGCCGCUGCCUCAUCUUCCAGCUCCUCCACGCCGACUACUUCCCACAGGCGCUCGUCACCUUCCUCGCCGACCCGGACUUCCGCUUCGUCGGCGUCGGCGUGCAGGACGACGCCAACCGCCUCAGCAACGACCACGGUCUCGGGGUCGCCAACACCAUGGGCAGGCCGUGGCUCCGCCAGGCCGGGCUCAGGGACGUCGCGGACGCCGUCAUGGGGGCCAGCGUCGACAAGCCGCACAGCAUCACGAUGGGACCGUGGGACGCCUACCGCCUCUCCGACGAGCAGAUCAAGUACGCCUGCAUCGACGCGUUCGUCUGCUUCGAGGUCGGCCGGAAGCUCCUCACCGGCGACUACUGA